CCGUUUGUGUUGUAAUCGACGGAUACUGUGUCGGAUUUAUUAGUCACGCUAUUAUCUCGGAGACCAUUUGAGGAGAAGGUUAGGAUUGUGCAAAAUGGCAGGCCAACACCACAACCACUGAGUCUGACCCAAGCAGGGCCAUGACAUAUGCAACAGUUUCAGAAAAACAAGUAUGAGCGGCAUAAAUAGCUCACUGGGAGGAAAAGGCCAAAUUGUAUUGCUGGGAUGGCGUGCUUUUCUCCACAGAGAAGGGAACAUGGAGCUCAACAAUUUUGCAAACCUGGCAUGUCUCAGCAAGAUCUCCAAAGCGAAUGCAGCUGCUUGAUGAAAUAUGCCAAAGGCAACUCCCACGCGUAGCACCAACAAGAUGGAAUUUUACUUCCAGACUUCUAUACACAGUGGUGGAGAAGAAAGAUGAAAUGUGCUUCAUGGAAUUCGGCAGACAGCGCCUUGGAUGUACACUUGUGUCUGGCUACAGUGAAAGUGAAUUUUGUCAACAUUUUGAGAGGGACAAUGUACGGCUUGAUGCCAUCUAUGACACCACAGAGGGGGAAACAGGUGCACCAGAUAGAAGAAGGGCCCAGGUGCAUGAGGACAUUCAUUCCAUCUACCAAAAACAGCACAUUCCUGACAAUAUUCUCUCACAAAUAAGAGACAGAUCAGAUUCAAAGACCAUGAAACGCUGGCGUUCCUCCCCCUCCUGGAUCCACAGCAGUUUGGCGCCUACGGCUUCACCUUCUCUGAUCGUGUCUUCACCAGAGCCACAGGACUCUUUUUGAUUUACCACGGCUAAAAAGUGCGGAUUCUGAUAGAAUAUUUGUCAGAUUUCAAAAGGGAAAAGCCCCUCUGACCUUGUAGUCCUCCUGAAACAUAUAGAGCUCAACCAAUGCACGCAACAACUCCAGACUUGCCUGUCUAAGUGUGACCAUUCCAGUGUAUACUGUUUCAGCAGAGUGCACAUUUUCUGCUCUGAAACCUAUCAAGACUUACUCAAGAAACACCACUGGACAGGCGUGACUUUCAGCCCUGGCACUGAUAGAAAAAGACAUGCCUUUGGAUUUAAAAACCAAGGAUCCGAUGGUGUCAUUACCCGCUUCAUUCAGAAGGAGAGAAUGAUGUAUUUUGUUUUCAAGUAAACAACACUGGCGAUGCGUGUGCGCUAGAGAUGCCAGUGAUGAAGAUAAAGAAAUUACUCAGAAAAAAGGCACAAAAAUGGAGAAGCAAACAACAAUGCAGAUAAGGUAAAUAUGGAUAAGGUAUAUAAGGGAUGAAGGAGUAAAGGGUAGAUAAAUGUUUCUAAAAGGUGUAAUAA